rnacentral:rRNA from 1 species
UACGGGGGGGGCAAGCGUUGUUCGGAAUUACUGGGCGUAAAGGGCUCGUAGGCGGCCAACUAAGUCAUACGUGAAAUCCCUCGGCUUAACCGGGGAACUGCGUCUGAUACUGGAUGGCUUGAGUUCGGGAGAGGGAUGCGGAAUUCCAGGUGUAGCGGUGAAAUGCGUAGAUAUCUGGAGGAACACCGGUGGCGAAGGCGGCAUCCUGGACCGAUACUGACGCUCAUGCACGAAAGCGUGGGGAGCAAACAGG